rnacentral:rRNA from 1 species
UACAGAGACUGCAAGCGUUAUUCGGAUUCACUGGGCGUAAAGGGUGCGCAGGCGGCCGUGUGUGUGAGGCGUGAAAGCCUGGAGCUUAACUCCAGAAUUGCACCUCAAACUACACGGCUAGAGCAUUGGAGAGGGUAGCGGAAUUCACGGUGUAGCAGUGAAAUGCGUAGAUAUCGUGAGGAACACCAGAGGCGAAGGCGGCUACCUGGACAAUUGCUGACGCUCAGGUGCGAAAGCCAGGGGAGCGAACGGG